ACAAACAGCUCCAGGGAGUCAGGGGAGGGCAGAAAUAGAUGGCCUUCCCCUGC
ensembl:miRNA